rnacentral:rRNA from 1 species
GAUGAACGCUGGCGGCGUGCUUAACAUAUGCAAGUCGAACGAAGCUGCCUGGAGGAAGUUUUCGGAUGGAAUUUAGGUAGACUUAGUGGCGGACGGGUGAGUAACGCGUGGAUAACCUGCCUUAUACAGGGGGAUAACGGAGAGAAAUUUCCGCUAACACCGCAUAAGACCACAGCACCGCAUGGUGCAGGGGUAAAAUAUUUAUAGGUAUAAGAUGGAUCCGCGUCCGAUUAGCUAGUUGGUGAGGUAAAGGCCCACCAAGGCGACGAUCGGUAGCCGGCCUGAGAGGGUGAACGGCCACAUUGGGACUGAGACACGGCCCAAACUCCUACGGGAGGCAGCAGUGGGGAAUAUUGGACAAUGGGGGAAACCCUGAUCCAGCGACGCCGCGUGAGUGAAGAAGUAUUUCGGUAUGUAAAGCUCUAUCAGCAGGGAAGAAAAUGACGGUACCUGACCAAGAAGCCCCGGCUAACUACGUGCCAGCAGCCGCGGUAAUACGUAGGGGGUAAGCGUUAUCCGGAUUUACUGGGUUAAAGGGAGCGCAGACGGUAAUGCAAGUCUGAAGUGAAAGGCUGGGCUCUAUCCAUGAG